rnacentral:rRNA from 1 species
CCUACGGGUGGCAGCAGUGGGGGAUAUUGCACAAUGGGGGAAACCCUGAUGCAGCGACGCCGCGUGUGGGAAGACGGUCCUCUGGAUUGUAAACCACUGUCCCCAGGGACGAAGAUGACGGUACCUGGGGAGGAAGCUCCGGCUAACUACGUGCCAGCAGCCGCGGUAAUACGUAGGGAGCGAGCGUUGUCCGGAAUUACUGGGUGUAAAGGGAGCGUAGGCGGGGAUGCAAGUUGGGUGUCAAAACUACCGGCUCAACUGGUAGUCGCACUCAAAACUGCAGCUCUUGAGUGAAGUAGAGGCAGGCGGAAUUCCUAGUGUAGCGGUGAAAUGCGUAGAUAUUAGGAGGAACACCAGUGGCGAAGGCGGCCUGCUGGACUGCAACUGACGUUGAGGCCCGAAAGCGUGGGGAGCAAACAGGAUUAGAUACCCCAGUAGUC